rnacentral:rRNA from 1 species
CCUCCCCCCCMGGUAAAACACUUAUUGCAGUCGAGCGGACAGAUGGGAGCUUGCUCCCUGAUGUUAGCGGCGGACGGGUGAGUAACUCUUGGGUAACCUGCCUGUAAGACUGGGAUAACUCCGGGAAACCGGGGCUAAUACCGGAUGGUUGUUUGAACCGCAUGGUUCAAACAUAAAAGGUGGCUUCGGCUACCACUUACAGAUGGACCCGCGGCGCAUUAGCUAGUUGGUGAGGUAACGGCUCACCAAGGCAACGAUGCGUASCCGACCUGAGAGGGUGAUCGGCCACACUGGGACUGARACACGGCCCAGACUCCUACGGGAGGCAGCAGUAGGGAAUCUUCCGCAAUGGACGAAAGUCUGACGGAGCAACGCCGCGUGAGUGAUGAAGGUUUUCGGAUCGUAAAGCUCUGUUGUUAGGRAAGAACAAGUACCGUUCGAAUAGGGCGGUCCCUUGACGGUACCUAACCAGAAAGCCACGGCUAACUACGUGCCAGCAGCCGCGGUAAUACGUAUGUGGCAAGCUUUGUCCGGAAUUAUUGGGCGUAUGGGGCUCGCAGGCGGUUUCUUAAGUCUGAUGUGAAAGCCCCCGGCUCACCCGGGGGAGGGUCUUUGGAAACUGGGGAACUUGAGUGCAGAAGAGGAGAGUGGGAAUUCCCACGUGUAGCGGUGAAAUGCGUAGAGAUGUGGAGGAACACCAGUGGCGAAGGCGACUCCUCUGGUCUGUAACUGACGCUGAGGAGCGAAAGCGUGGGGAGCGAACAGGAUUAGAUACCCUGGUAGUCCACGCGUAAACGAUGAGUGCUAAGUGUUAGGGGGGUUUCCGCCCCUUAGUGCUGCAGCUAACGCAUUAAGCACUCCGCCUGGGGAGUACGGUCGCAAGACUGAAACUCAAAGGAAUUGACGGGGGCCCGCACAAGCGGUGGAGCAUGUGGUUUAAUUCGAAGCAACGCGAAGAACCUUACCAGGUCUUGACAUCCUCUGACAAUCCUAGAGAUAGGACGUCCCCUUCGGGGGCAGAGUGACAGGUGGUGCAUGGUUGUCGUCAGCUCGUGUCGUGAGAUGUUGGGUUAAGUCCCGCAACGAGCGCAACCCUUGAUCUUAGUUGCCAGCAUUCAGUUGGGCACUCUAAGGUGACUGCCGGUGACAAACCGGAGGAAGGUGGGGAUGACGUCAAAUCAUCAUGCCCCUUAUGACCUGGGCUACACACGUGCUACAAUGGACAGAACAAAGGGCAGCGAAACCGCGAGGUUAAGCCAAUCCCACAAAUCUGUUCUCAGUUCGGAUCGCAGUCUGCAACUCGACUGCGUGAAGCUGGAAUCGCUAGUAAUCGCGGAUCAGCAUGCCGCGGUGAAUACGUUCCCGGGCCUUGUACACACCGCCCGUCACACCACGAGAGUUUGUAACACCCGAAGUCGGUGAGGUAACCUUUUAGGAGCCAUCCGUCUAUAAAAUUCUUUUU